rnacentral:rRNA from 1 species
AACGAACGCUGGCGGCAUGCCUAACACAUGCAAGUCGAACGAGAUCUUCGGGUCUAGUGGCGCACGGGUGCGUAACGCGUGGGAAUCUGCCCUUCGGUUAGGAAUAACAGUGGGAAACGACUGCUAAUACCGGAUGAUGACGAAAGUCCAAAGAUUUAUCUCCAGAGGAUGAGCCCGCGUAGGAUUAGCUAGUUGGUGUGGUAAAGGCGCACCAAGGCGACGAUCCUUAGCUGGUCUGAGAGGAUGAUCAGCCACACUGGGACUGAGACACGGCCCAGACUCCUACGGGAGGCAGCAGUGGGGAAUAUUGGACAAUGGGCGAAAGCCUGAUCCAGCAAUGCCGCGUGAGUGAUGAAGGCCUUAGGGUUGUAAAGCUCUUUUACCCGGGAUGAUAAUGACAGUACCGGGAGAAUAAGCUCCGGCUAACUCCGUGCCAGCCGCCGCGGUAA